rfam:Picea glauca, whole genome shotgun sequence.
UUCCUAAAACAUAGCAUUAAUGCACUAGAUCCCAUUAGAGCUUUGCAGUUAAGCGUGCUCGGGCUAGAGUAGUACUGGGAUGGAUGAUCGCCCGAGAAGUCCCAGUAUUUUACAUGC